UGUGUGCCUGAGCUCGUGCUCCUGGAGUCUGUUUUGAGCCUGGGCAAGGCAGGGCAGGCAGUGAGGGAGAGAUGAGACCAUCCACCCGCAGCCCCAACCAGCUCUCCCAAAGCACACGGGGCCUUGUAGCUCUGCGUGUCCAGCCAGGGACUCCGUGGGAACUGCUCUCUGGUAGAAAUCGCCAGGAGCCAGGGUCACCCCUCCUAAAGCCUUAGCAAAAACCUCCAGGGCCCCAAAUCAUGUGUCCAGUGGCCUAACCUGGGCUGGGCGUACUCCCCUGGAGGCAAGGGUCUUGGCUUUCUCCCCAGCACCUGGCAGCUGUGCCCAGUGGCGACCACGCCUUCCUCCCCUGUGUCCCAGGGCUAGCAGCAGAUCAACUUCCCAAGCAGGGCACUGGAAAAGUGGACUCCCCUGGGCAAAAUGGGAGAGCCAUGGGGGGAGUGAGGGCAGGGGAAGAGGGAGCAAAUACAACGGCCUGGCCAGGCACCCAGGAGCACAGGGAAGAGACAGGUUGCACUUAAUCACCCAGAGAAGAGGAACCUCCCCUCAGAUGACCUUUGGUGCCUGGAGGAAACAGCUCUACAAAGAGGCAGCUUGCCACCCAGUCCCCGGCCCUCAGGUGGUGACACAGUGAGGCUCUACUGAGGAACAAGCGCUUCACUCUCCCUCAGGCCCAGGGCCCCGUCUGGUCUGCUCAGCUCUCAGCUCACUCACCGGCAGAUGGAAGGACCCCAGUCUGCAGGGUCAGCAGCCAACGGCCACAGCCACAUGCCAGGCGCCCAGCAAGCACUCAGUCCACAUGGGAUGCAAUGAAUCAGCUUAACAUUUUUUAGAGGAAGGAGAAGACCUGAGGGGCCACAUUUCAACCAAAGAAAGGGAGGAGAGUGCCUACAGGGCUUGCGAAGAGAUGGGGCUGGUGGGCCAGGGCAGCCUGGAAUAGGCCACAACACUGUGCAGACACAGCCCCACACCUGUCCUCCUUACCCGGAUCCAACCCAAGCAAGUGCUGUGUGACAAGCCCUGGACCCUGGAUGCAGCAAGGGGAAGAUGAUAGGUCAUGGAUCCGCACGAUAUUCCACACCUACUGUGCACCCUCGGAACAGGGAGGCAGGGUGAGCAAGGUACAGUUCUAGCCCAGAGCCUCAAGUUUUGGUGCAGGGCUGAGAAUAUCUGACACACAGGCUGCCCUCCUAUCCUCCCAUCCUGAGCCCACGACAGACAUCACUACGGCAGGUCCCUGAAAAACAUCGUUUCAUCAUAACACUGAUGGGGGGGGGGACAGCGAUUCCCAGCUGGGGCUCCUGUCUGUGUGGAGUCUGCACCCUUUCUUCAUGUCUACGUGGGCUUUCUCCAGGAAUUCUGGUUUCCCUCUGCCUCCCAAAGCUACGCACAGGUUCGCUGGUGAGUCAGACAUGUCCCAGGGGAUGUGAGCGCGCCCGGCGAUGGGAUGGUGUCCUGCCCAGGGUGGGUUCCCACCGUGCACUCUAUCCUGGAGGACAGGUUCUGGCCACCCUCGACCCUGGAAUAAGCAGGUAAAUAAUUACCUUGCUUUUAUUAAUCUUUCUUAAGUAUAUAUAUAGCUCACGCUUAUUUCAAUUUUUAAUAUUAGAAAGGUUUGGGGUCUUUACUUAGAAGUUUGGUGAUGUUUUUGUGACCAGAAAUAUAUGCCAUGGCAGCUUAACUCUUCUUUAGCUUAUGAUAAAAUUGGUUUCAUUAUAAAGUCAAAGAUGCCAAGAACCUAUGGGCUGAGGUUUAGUUAGGACUUGCUGGGAUUGACCCCAGCAUUCCCUAAACCCCGGUGACACUUCAGGCCUCUUCUUACAUCCAAGCUCUAAGCAAACAUGAAAUGGGAUAAAAAGGAGUUAAAGCACAGAAAGAUGCUGACAAAGCAUCUUAGCACCACCAAAUUCCAGAACUGGCAAGACCCCAGAAGACCAUCCUGACUUCCCCAGGGCCUCCAGUAUUGCAGCCCAGGCCACACAGGCUCCCUGGGGACAGAAGGAAACCCAGCCCCAGCAAGACCUGCAGAGAAAGGUCAUGGGCGGAAAUCCCCGGCUCUGCGCACUGUGCUUCCGCCUGCUGAGCAAGCUCUGCCACUCGGGCCCCCUCCCAUGUGCAGCGCCCACCAGCGUUCCCAUUCAGCCACGCUAAGGUGAACUGGUUUAGAAACCACAAACCAGCCCACCAGUCUGCCCAGAGAUUAGCCCUCCAACCAGACCUCCACUUUCUGGAUUUCAAACAAUUAACAAAUAAAUUACUUGAGGAGGGGAACCUUCUGGGGUAAAUUUACUUUCCCACCUUGAAAAAGGCCCUUCUGGCCACUUAGUCCUUAAUUCCCACUCCUCCUACCCUGUUAAGAUGCCCAUGGAUAGGAGUGCCACCUAGUGCCACUGCGAGGCGCUGCAGGCUCCAAGGACACCUGCAGACAGAGACCUCCCCACCUCAGCCAACCCACCCCAGGGCUCUAGGUCCUAGCUGCAGGAAUUUCAUGCACUAACUCUGGAUGGAUGCUCUGUGCCAGGGAACAGAAGGUGGUUGUGGAACAGAAUCCAACCCAAGAAUGAGAUACCCUGGCAGGUGCCCUCAGCUAAUUCCCUACAGGCUGGUAGAGGUCCCCAGGGGAAGAUGACUGGUGUCUCACUGCUGGCUCAAGGGACCACUGGCAGGCAUCAGCCUCCCAGCAGUCCAGGCAGGGAGCACCACAAGCACAAAGUGCUCUCAGGGGUCUCUCCCUACACAAGGUUCGCCCAGCCCUGCCCCAACUUCCCCACUCGGGUUUAGGAAUGGCUCUUGGCAGUCCUUGACUUCUCCGAUGCCCCUGGCCCAUACAGAGCCUCUCCAGCAGCUCCCCAAGGGCCCUGCCCAGGCACCAAAGGGGUAUGUCCUACAGCAGAAUAAAGAAAAAGGGCUUUCGGGCGGAGCAAGCCCAGCAGACAGCUUCACACAGGG